GUUUGACUGACGUUGACUGUGUGGCUAUCACAAAGCGUAAAUAAUCAGUAGGCAUUGCUUCCCAAAACAGAAAACGUACAGUGGCUACAGAAAUUCCAUUAAACUUGCCAUUGCUGGAACUGGGUGCCGUUUCCAUGCAUAAUGUUGUACAGUUGCUUCAUCAGCCAAUUGGAAAGCAUAUUAACCAGUGCUAACCAAUAGUGAUAACUAUUCUCUUCAUCCAGGACCUCAGGACUGC